rnacentral:ncRNA from 1 species
CAAAGGUUUGGUCCUGGCCUUAUUAUUAGUUAUCAGUAGGAUUAUACAUGCAAGUAUCCGCUAACCAGUGAAAAUGCCCUUUUACUCGACCCACCUGGGCCGAUCCCCAAGGAGCCGGCAUCAAGCACACGACAGUAGCUCAAAACGCCUUGCUUAGCCACACCCCCACGGGAUACAGCAGUAAUAAAAAUUAAGCAAUAAACGAAAGUUUGACUAAGCCAUACUGAUAGAGGGUUGGUCAAUCUCGUGCCAGCCACCGCGGUCAUACGAUUAACCCAAAUUAAUAACAACCGGCGUAAAGUGUGGUUAAAAAUACGACAUAAAUAAAGUUAAAUUAGCUCUCUGCUGUAAAAAGCUAAAGACCUAAAGAAAAUAGACUACUAAAGUGACUUUACCCAGAUAUGAACCCACGAUAGCUAAGAUACAAACUGGGAUUAGAUACCCCACUAUGCUUAGCCUUAAACCUUGAUAUUUAGUAACAAAAAUAUCCGCCAGAGAACUACAAGCAACCGCUUAAAACUCAAAGGACUUGGCGGUGCUUCACAACCCACUAGAGGAGCCUGUUACAUAAUCGAUAAACCCCGAUAAACCCUACCAUCACUUGCUAAAUCAGUCUAUAUACCGCCAUCUUCAGCAAACCCUUAAAAGGAACUACAGUAAGCUCAAACGUACUCACAAAAACGUUAGGUCAAGGUGUAACCUAUGUGAUGGAGCAUAAUGGGCUACAUUUUCUACGCAAGAACAAUUACGAACUCUAAUAUGAAAUUAUAGGAUAAAGGAGGAUUUAGCAGUAAGCCAGGAAUAGAGAGCCUGACUGAAUCUGGCCAUGAAGCACGCACACACCGCCCGUCACCCUCCUCAAAUGGCUAGAGACAAAAAUUAUAUUUUAACUCAACAUGUCAUAAGAGGAGACAAGUCGUAACAAGGUAAGCAUACUGGAAAGUGUGCUUGGAUUACU